rnacentral:lncRNA from 1 species
AGCAGAUGCCUCUGUUUCUUGAGCUGACUUCCAGAUUCUGAGAAAUAAAUGAAGAGUGGAGGCUUGUUUUGGUAGAGGCUGAGAAAAGGAGUUGGCCAUAUUUGCCCUUCAGAACUUCGUGUCAUCCCCCAGCUCCCCAACGGCAGGGCCACAUUCUUUCACAGGACGGAGUUGGGGCAGAUUAUGGCUUCCUCUGGAUUGGAUUUCCCUUGGCUUCCCUGAGGGCAAUCCCCCGAGGAAGCACAUCCUGGAGCCAAACUCACCCAAUGAACCACAGCAACAGCUCCUAGGAGAAUGAAGAGUGUGAAUGGAUGGCCUUUUCAAAAUGAUGAGCCUGGAAGAGUUACAGACUCUGGCCCGAAAGAACCAAAGUUGAAGGUAGAGAUGUUUUAAGGAUGAGCAGAGCAGAACAACUUAGCAGUGGGAUGUUAAAGGCAACAUGAAUCAACCACUCCCUGCUAGAAUGGAAGAUUCAUGGGAGCAG